rnacentral:rRNA from 1 species
GAUGAACGCUAGCGGCAGGCCUAACACAUGCAAGUCGAGGGGCAGCACAGAAACAGCAAUGUUUUGGUGGCGACCGGCGGACGGGUGCGCAACGCGUAUGCAACCUACCUUUAACAGGGGGAUAACGGAGAGAAAUUUCCACUAAUACCCCAUAACAUCGAUCAAGGCAUCUUGAUUGGUUGAAAACUCCGGUGGUUAAAGAUGGGCAUGCGUUGUAUUAGGUAGUUGGUGAGGUAAUGGCUCACCAAGCCUACGAUACAUAGGGGGACUGAGAGGUUAGCCCCCCACACUGGUACUGAGACACGGACCAGACUCCUACGAGAGGCAGCAGUGAGGAAUAUUGGUCAAUGGGGGCAACCCUGAACCAGCCAUGCCGCGUGCAGGAAGACGGCUCUAUGAGUUGUAAACUGCUUUUAAACAGGGAUAAAGCACAGUAUGUAUACUGUGUUGAAGGUACUGUAAGAAUAAGGAUCGGCUAACUCCGUGCCAGCAGCCGCGGUAA